AUGGGGAUUUACUGUUUCAAAUGUAUAAUAUUGAAUUUAUUAAAAAAGUGAAAAUACUUUUGUUUUUAAAAAAGACGAGAAAACCCUAAGAAUUUUUAGAAUAUAUUUAUACAAUUAUUUCUUUUUGUUGGGGCGACAAUUAAACAAUUAAACUUUAAUUAUUUUUUAAUCGGUUUUUUCAGUAAAAAAUAAAUUACCUUAGGGAUAACAGCAUAAUUUAAAAAAGUUUGUGACCUCAAUGUUGGACUAGGAACUUUAUAGCUAGCAGUUAAAAAAGAUUGUUCUGUUCGAACAAUAUCUCCUACAUGAUCUGAGUACAAACCGGAGC
rnacentral:rRNA from 1 species